GACGAACGCUGGCGGCGUGCUUAACACAUGCAAGUCGAACGGAAAGGCCCUGCUUUUGUGGGGUGCUCGAGUGGCGAACGGGUGAGUAACACGUGAGUAACCUGCCCUUGACUUUGGGAUAACUUCAGGAAACUGGGGCUAAUACCGGAUAGGAGCUCCUGCUGCAUGGUGGGGGUUGGAAAGUUUCGGCGGUUGGGGAUGGACUCGCGGCUUAUCAGCUGGUUGGUGGGGUAGUGGCUUACCAAGGCUUUGACGGGUAGCCGGCCUGAGAGGGUGACCGGCCACAUUGGGACUGAGAUACGGCCCAGACUCCUCCGGGAGGCAGCAGUGGGGAAUAUUGAACAAUGGGCGGAAGCCUGAUGCAGCAACGCCGCGUGCGGGAUGACGGCCUUCGGGUUGUAAACCGCUUUCGCAUGUGACGAAGCGUGAGUGACGGUAAUGGGUAAAGAAGCACCGGCUAACUACGUG
rnacentral:rRNA from 1 species